UACGUAGGGUGCGAGCGUUAAUCGGAUUUACUGGGCGUAAAGCGUGCGCGGGCGGCCCGUUAAGACAGGUGUGAAAUCCCUGGGCUCAACCUAGGAAUUGCGCUUGUGACUGGCGGGCUCGAGUACGGUAGAGGGGGGUGGAAUUCCUGGUGUAGCAGUGAAAUGCGUAGAGAUCAGGAGGAACACCGAUGGCGAAGGCAGCGCCCUGGGCCUGUACUGACGCUCAUGCACGAAAGCGUGGGGAGCAAACAGG
rnacentral:rRNA from 1 species